CAGUCUUCUGACGUUACUCAUGCCGUUCGUGUUGUCAAAAACGUCACUUGCUUAAGCUCACUAUUGUUCUCAAAUACCGUUUGAUUUUCGUUGUUUGAUGGCGUGACUGCGCGCGCGCGCGAGGAUUGUUGAUGUUGCUUACACGCGCGCAGACUACAUUUCCCGCUAAAAAUUGUUUCUGAUGCACGCACUUCGAGAAGAUUUCCGAUCUUUUGUUGAGUAGAUUUUGUCGCGAGAUUUUAAAAUCAGCAGCUUCUCUUGCAAGCAUAGGUUGCAUCUGGGUCUUCCGCUUGUGUAUGGGACAGCCUUCUUCAGAAUGGACCAAGUGGUGUUGUAAGGUCUUCCGCUUCUCUUCAAUUUCCAAAUAUGCUUCGAUAGCUCCGUUUCGUUCGCAUAUCUCUGAAGCUCGAAUGAUUUUUUAUGGUUUCUGUACCUGUCUUUGAAUUCCCCAGCUGUUACCCCAAUAUACCGCUUCGUUUCACCGUUGUCGUGACUCUUUACUUCGGCUUGGUACACGAUAGCUUGGGUCAGACAUUUCUUCUGGAGGGGG